GACCCGUAUUUUAGGGCCAUAUUUUUUUUUUAGAAAUAUUAAAAUUAUCGAGUAAUGACGUAAAUUGUGGAAAUUCGAAUAAUGGCAUGGUUACCUGAUUGGGGUUAAUGUGAUAUCAUUAUUUUUGAAAGGGAACAAGUGUUAUCAGUGUGUGUGCAUGUAUAUAAGUGUGGGUGAGUAGCAGGGAAUGAUUUUUCCUCUUUCCUUUUCUCUAUGUCAGCCGACACACACACACACAUAUCAUCUCUCUCUCUCUCUCUAACUCUCAUCCGGCUCUCUCUCGCCUCUCACCUCUCUAUCAACUUCUCUCCUAAAUUUCAUCUUCUUAGAGCAAGAUUCCGGACAAAGUCCGAGGAUUAAAGUUGCUAUACGAAGCACGGGCUUUCCGAAUAUCCAAGAAAAUUCAUGAUCGGACCUCGUGGGAGCUCGGUUGACUUGGUCAAAGGUUGGGGUUUUGCUCAAAACCCUUGAGAUUUCUCUACUGGGCUAGUGUAGCUCAACCUAUCAUUUUCAGGUACACCACAGGAGCAUAGCAUGGAGAGUAUGGAGUGCAUGCAGACAUCACAGGCUAAAGUUAUUUUCUAAAGUACUUGUCUUUCUUCGUAAAUCGAACUGCAUUGUACUAUUUUCUCUAGUUUGGAAUACUGUAUCAGUUUGACAGAUUUGUGAUAUUCGGGAAUUGUAUUGUAAUUUGGGGUAUCGUAUGUACUAUUGCGAGGAUUUGUAUUUAAAA